rnacentral:rRNA from 1 species
AUGGGGGAGUCGCUGCUCACCGCGCUCUCCAUGGACACCGCCACGGCCCACCACCCGCACCAGGGCCCCUCCACCUUCCUCUCCAUGGACACUGCCUCCCACGACGAGUUCGACCUCUUCCUCCCGCCGCCAGGCCCCUUCCAGCGCUGCCUCCAUGCCGCCGCAGCCGCCCCCCCUGACAUCAACCUCCCCCUCGCCGCUGACCCGUCGCCUCCCCCUCCGGCCAUGCAGACCACCAACCUCCAUGAAUCCAACGUCGACAUGCUGGAUGUUGGCCUCGGCUGCCCGCAGCUCUAUGACUCGGACUCGCCUGCUGCUGCCGCCGUGACCUCGGCCCCGGUGUCCACCACAACAACUGUCCAUGUGUCUCACACCAAGAGCUCCGGUUCCAGCGCCGCGCGCAAGUGCGUGAAGCGGAAUGAUAGCAUCUGGGGUGCAUGGUUCUUCUUCACCCACUACUUCAAGCCGGUCAUGUCGGCUGAUAAGGGCGGCAAGACGAAGGCACCCACUGCUGCUGGGAAUGGUAAUAGUGCCACUCUGGAUGCUUUCCUGGUGCAGCAUGACAUGGAGAACAUGUACAUGUGGGUGUUUAAGGACCGGCCGGAGAAUGCCCUGGGGAAGAUGCAGCUGAGGAGCUUCAUGAACGGUCACUCGCGCCUUGGGGAGCCACAGUUUCCUUUCAGCGCAGACAAAGGGUUUGUGCGCUCACACCGGAUGCAGCGUAAGCACUACCGGGGGUUGUCAAACCCGCAGUGCCUUCAUGGGAUUGAGAUCGUGCGGGCACCAAACUUAGUGGGUGUUCCUGAGGCUGAUAUGAAGAGGUGGUUCGAGCUCACUGGGAGAGAUGCCAAUUUCUUGGUUCCCACUGAGGCGGAUGAUUUUGAAUCAUGGAGGAAUCUGCCGACCACGGAAUUUGAGCUCGAGAGGCCUGCAACUGCUGCUCCAGCAAAGAGCACCUCACAUGGCCAUCACAAGAAGGUGCUGAAUGGUUCUGGCCUUAACCUGUCAACACAUGCAUCAAAGCAUGGUUCUGGGGAUGGUAUGGACAUCUCAGGCGUGUGCCACAAACGUAGGAAGGAUUCCUCCCCCUCUGCCAUGGAAGAGGAUUGCAGCAAUUCAAAUUCAGACAAGGUUCAGGACAUGGAUGUGAGCCACACUUUUGAGCCAUCAUGGACGAAUGACUUCACUGGUGUGAUGCGUCAUGCUUCUGGGCCAGUAACUGCCGCAAAAACAAUAUAUGAAGAUAGCAAGGGCUACUUGAUCAUCAUUAGCCUGCCAUUUGCUGAUAUACAGAAGGUGAAGGUUACCUGGAAGAACACUCUUACGAAUGGUGUCGUUAAGAUAUCAUGCACUAGUGUCGGACGGAUGCCAUUCUUGAAGCGACAUGACCGGACCUUCAAGUUGACGGAUCCUUCACCUGAGCAUUGUCCACCAGGGGAGUUCAUCCGGGAAGUUCCAUUGCCUACCCGGAUCCCAGAAGAUGCUACUCUGGAAGCAUACUGUGAUGAAUCAGGAACAGGCCUAGAGAUUAUUGUCCCUAAACACCGUGCUGGACCUGAAGAACAUGAAGUCCGUGUGUCCCUGAGGCCUCCCUCAUCAUGGUGCCAAUGA